rnacentral:rRNA from 1 species
UACGUAGGGUGCGAGCGUUUGUCCGGAAUUAUUGGGCGUAAAGGGCUCGUAGGCGGUUUGUCGCGUCGGGAGUGAAAACCUACAGCUUAACUGUGGGCUUGCUUUCGAUACGGGCAGACUAGAGGUAUGCAGGGGAGAACGGAAUUCCUGGUGUAGCGGUGAAAUGCGCAGAUAUCAGGAGGAACACCGGUGGCGAAGGCGGUUCUCUGGGCCUUACCUGACGCCGAGGAGCGAAAAGCGUGGGGAGCGAACAGG